CGAAGGUUGGCUAAUCCUGGUCGGACAUCAGGAGGUUAGUGCAAUGGCAUAAGCCAGCUUGACUGCGAGCGUGACGGCGCGAGCAGGUGCGAAAGCAGGUCAUAGUGAUCCGGUGGUUCUGAAUGGAAGGGCCAUCGCUCAACGGAUAAAAGGUACUCCGGGGAUAACAGGCUGAUACCGCCCAAGAGUUCAUAUCGACGGCGGUGUUUGGCACCUCGAUGUCGGCUCAUCACAUCCUGGGGCUGAAGUAGGUCCCAAGGGUAUGGCUGUUCGCCAUUUAAAGUGGUACGCGAGCUGGGUUUAGAACGUCGUGAGACAGUUCGGUCCCUAUCUGCCGUGGGCGCUGGAGAACUGAGGGGGGCUGCUCCUAGUACGAGAGGACCGGAGUGGACGCAUCACUGGUGUUCGGGUUGUCAUGCCAAUGGCACUGCCCGGUAGCUAAAUGCGGAAGAGAUAAGUGCUGAAAGCAUCUAAGCACGAAACUUGCCCCGAGAUGAGUUCUCCCUGAGACUUAGAGUCUCCUGAAGGAACGUUGAAGACGACGACGUUGAUAGGCCGGGUGUGUAAGCGCAGCGAUGCGUUGAGCUAACCGGUACUAAUGAACCGUGAGGCUUAACCUUAC
rnacentral:rRNA from 1 species